UCGAAACCUGCCCAGCAGAACGACCCGCGAACAUGUUAUAUACAUUGUGUGGGGAGGGGUUGCUGGUUUGCCAGUCCCUCCCCACUGCUUUGGGGCAAACCCUUUGGGUUUCUCCCUGGCAUAAUAACAAAACCCCGGCGCGUAUGUGCCAAGGAACAAAAACAAGAGUGUGCCUAACCUUUGCCCGGGCAUCCAGUGCAAUGGUGCGGCACCCUUUCUAAGUCAUAAAAUGACUCUCGGCAACGGAUAUCUCGGCUCUCGCAUCGAUGAAGAACGUAGCGAAAUGCGAUACUUGGUGUGAAUUGCAGAAUCCCGUGAACCAUCGAGUUUUUGAACGCAAGUUGCGCCCGAAGCCUUUCGGCCAGGGCACGUCUGCCUGGGCGUCACGCAUAGCGUCUCCCCCAAACCACUAAGUGUGGGACGGAGAGGACGAUGGCCUCCCAUGCCUCACCGGGUGUGGAUGGCCUAAAUAGGGAGCCCCUCGGACACAAAAUGUCGCGGCGUUAGGUGGUACACAAGGCAUUUGCCUCGAAGCAUCGCGCCCGAUAUCACGUAUCCUAUGCGGGCUCGAUGGACCCUUGAAAAACCUUUGCGACCCCAGGUCAGGCGGGGUUACCCG
rnacentral:rRNA from 1 species